rnacentral:tRNA from 1 species
GCAGGCGUGGCUCAGUGGUAGAGCGCAACCUUGCCAAGGUUGAAGUCGAGGGUUCGAUUCCCUUCGCCUGCUCCA